rnacentral:rRNA from 1 species
AUGGAUCACAGAAAUCCAGGGCUACCUCAAGGAAAAUGCCCUCCUCGAGGACGACACAACCGCGGAAAGGAUCGCUCAAUAAGCCAAGGGCUACACCUUGAUGGAUGGGGACUUGUAUCGGCGCAGCGCCCACCGGGUCCUGCUCAAGUGCAUCCCGAGGAAGGCCAAGAGCUGCUCGUGGGUAUUCAUGGAGGCGAAUGCGUUAUCCACACAUCUUCGCGCACCCUGGUCGGAAAGGCUUUCAGAAAGAUUUUUUACUGGUUGACUACUCUUCAAGACGCCGCCGAGAUGGUCUGA